CUCAAAAACAAAAAGCAGCCAGGUUAUGAAACACAAAAAGAAACAGGAGAGUUCUGGGAGAUUCUAGGGUACAGUAGCAACACCAAGUGCUAACUGACCACACCUGAUCCAGGUUUUCAACAGUGUGUAGGGAGAGCUGGAAAACAAUCAGUACUGUGGCCUUCAAGAACCAGGAUUGUCCAACCUGAAGUCUCACGUAAUCAGUGACCCCCAGCAGCUGUGAUUGCUUUUAAUUAACUACAGGGAUGGGGAGAUUUCUUCUUUUGGAUGCCUCAGCUCUCUGCAGCUAGCCAGGCGUUAUGGCAGUGUACACUCUGACUGUGACUACGGGAAGCAUGCUGAAUGCAGGCACGUUGGAUAAUGUGUAUGUUACCCUUAUUGGCACUGAAAGAGAGUCUGAGCGUACUUGCCUGAGUCAGCUGGAUGACAAACAUGCGAAGGUGAGUUUGGAAAAACUAGUUCAGCUUUAAUUUUAGGGUUUUCAACACUAAACCUUUUAGUCUUUGAUGGAUGAGGUCUACAUACUACAUUUUAAUACAUACUUUGGUCAUCUUCUUCGUCCACAGGUGGGAACGUAUUCUGUGACUACACUUUUGUCUUUGGGAUUCCUCCUCCUCCUCAAGUUGGUUUUGCUCCACAAUAGUGGUGACAACACCUGAAAAGAUUACAAUUCUUCUCCCGUGUCAAAGAUGGUUGUCAAGUGGUGAAACUUUGUUUUUGAGAGGGGGGAGAGCUGCUAAGGCUUUUGAUGAUUUAUUUCCUCGACUAGUGGAACAACGGGGAAAAACAAAACAGAACUGGUCCAACAAAAAAUUGAUAUACAUAUGGGUUGAGUAUGCUGAGGGAAUGUCAUACAUCGUAAACAUCACCGAUCCAAAAGCUGCUCCUGCAGAUCAGCUGAGCUUGAACGUAAAGUCUGAAAGAUUCUAA
rnacentral:lncRNA from 1 species